AACAAAAACUGGCGGCGAGGAACUGCGGAGAACUGUUGCCCUGCACCGCUUCAUUUUGUGCAGCCUGAAAGGGGCAAUCACAUAAGGUCGGUUUUGUAAUAUACAGGUAACAUACAGUCCGGGCAGUUGAGAAGGCCACCCCGCUUCGUGCCUGCAGCCCAGUUCCUCUUAGGUCUUGGACUGGUGUGGAUCGCUGCUGCCUGUACUGUAAUUUUGGAAAUGCAGGAGAAAGACAUGUACUUGUAGACAGGAUUCAAAGCAGUUAAGAAUGUCUCUGCCAAGUCGACAAACAGCUAUUAUUGUUAACCCUCCUCCACCAGAAUAUAUAAAUACUAAGAAAAAUGGGCGAUUGACAAAUCAACUUCAGUAUCUACAAAAAGUUGUCCUAAAGGAUUUAUGGAAGCAUAGUUUUUCAUGGCCCUUUCAACGUCCUGUGGAUGCUGUGAAACUACAGUUGCCUGAUUAUUAUACCAUUAUAAAAAACCCAAUGGAUUUAAAUACAAUUAAGAAGCGCUUGGAGAAUAAAUAUUAUGCGAAGGCUUCAGAAUGUAUAGAAGACUUCAAUACAA
rnacentral:lncRNA from 1 species